UCGCUAGUCCUGGCACUGCCAGCGCCGCCGCCGCCGCCGCCGCCAUGGGGAAGCGACAGCAUCAGAAGGACAAGAUGUACAUUACCUGUGCUGAAUACACUCAUUUCUAUGGUGGCAAGAAACCAGAUAUCCCACAAGCCAAUUUUCGUCGUUUACCUUUUGAUCACUGCAGUCUCUCUCUGCAGCCCUUCGCCUACCCGGUCUGCACCCCUGAGGGUGUCGUCUUCGACUUGCUUAACAUCGUCCCUUGGCUUAAGAAGUAUGGGACCAACCCCAGCAACGGAGAGAAACUGGACGGGAGGUCCCUGAUCAGGCUGAACUUUGCAAAGAACAAGGAAGGAAAGUACCACUGCCCAGUGCUGUUUACCGUGUUCACCAACAACACCCACAUUGUAGCUGUCAGGACCACCGGCAAUGUCUAUACCUACGAGGCAGUGGAACAGUUAAAUAUCAAGGCCAAGAACUUCCGAGACCUGCUGACGGACGAGCCCUUCUCUCGGCAGGACAUCAUCACCCUUCAGGACCCCACCAAUUUGGACAAAUUCAACGUCUCCGAUUUCUUUCAUGUGAAGAAUAACAUGAAGAUGACAGAUCCUGAUGAAGAAAAGGCCAAACAGGACCCAUCUUAUUAUUUGAAAAAUACGAACGCCGAGACCCGUGAGACGCUGCAGGAGCUCUACAAGGAGUUCAAAGGGGACGAGGUCCUGGCAGCCACCAUGAAGGUCCCCGAGAAGAAGAAAGUGGACAAGCUGAACGCCGCGCACUAUUCCACCGGGAAGGUCAGCGCCUCCUUUACCUCCACUGCCAUGGUUCCGGAGACCACACACGAAGCAGCCGCCAUUGAUGAGGAUGUGCUGCGCUACCAGUUUGUGAAGAAGAAGGGCUACGUGCGCCUGCACACCAACAAGGGCGACCUCAAUCUGGAGCUGCACUGCGACAUGACGCCGAAGACCUGUGAAAACUUCAUCAAGCUCUGCAAGAAGCAGUACUAUGACGGCACCAUCUUCCACAGGUCCAUCCGGAACUUUGUGAUCCAGGGCGGUGACCCCACCGGCACAGGCACAGGUGGGGAGUCGUACUGGGGAAAGCCCUUCAAAGACGAGUUCCGGCCCAACCUUUCGCACACGGGCCGGGGCAUCCUCAGCAUGGCCAACUCAGGGCCCAACGCCAACAAGUCUCAGUUCUUUAUCACCUUUCGAUCCUGUGCGUACCUGGACAAGAAGCACACCAUCUUCGGGCGGGUUGUUGGGGGCUUUGACACGCUGACAGCCAUGGAGAACGUGGAGAGUGACCCCAAAACCGACCGCCCUAAGGAGGAGAUCCGCAUCGACUCCACCACCGUGUUUGUGGACCCCUACGAGGAGGCCGAUGCUCAGAUUGCUGAGGAACGGAAGAAGACGCAGCUCGAGGAGGCGGCCCCAGAAAGCGCUAUAAAAACUCAACAGCCCAAGGCGGGGAGCCAAGGCCCCCAGACGUACCGCCAGGGGGUGGGCAAGUACAUCAACCCAGCAGCCACGAAACGGGCAGCAGAGGAAGAGCCCUCAACCAGCACAGCUGGCCCUGCGGCCAAGACCAAGCCCAGCCGCGGCUUCGGGGACUUCAGCUCCUGGUAGCAGCGGGCCUGCCCCUCUGGAGCCCUAGAAGGACUCAGGGCUUGGGGGCCUGUAUCCACGCCGCGGAGUUCUCCGCCUUUCUGACUAGAGCUCGCUAAAGCUCUUGCUUGUUGUAGGAGUCCCCUUGCUUGGCCCCGGGGUCCACGGCCUUCCCCGCCUUCACUCGCUUCGGUGGCGCGACCCUCUUCCCAGGCCGGGGCCAGGCCCGAAUGAGAUCUCAGACCACCAGGCGUGGGCUGUGGCCCUUAGGCCCACCUGCAGGGUGUGCCUGGGUGGGGGAGGAAGGCAGAGACUCUGCCUCUGCCUUCCUCCCCAGCCCCAUUUUUGUCGUCUCCCUUGGGCACUGUUUGCUCAGCGUUAGCACCUGGCACCGCGUUAGAAACACAGGCUUGCAGAGCCCGACCUCCUCACCCGAGGCCACGGGGAGGACAGUCCCUGGGACAGACUGGGGAGCUCCUAUUGCCUGUGGCUUGAGGACCCUUGACCAGAGCCUUGACCCGAGUUCCUAAAAUCUCUCCUGCUGCCUUUUGCCUGGACUCGCUGAAGCCUGCCCGCGCCCCCGCCCCCCGCAAGGACUCUGGGCGGUCAUAGCCAUGUUCCCCCGUGGGCCUACUCUGGCCCCCCUGCCUCAGGAUGCCUGUGCCCAUGUGGCUUCCCUGCUCCUGACCUUGACGACACUACCUCAGCUUUCCCAGAUGCCUCUGCAGAAGCGCGGGACAGCUGUACACCCCUCGCCACCCACUCCUGAGGCCCGUCCUCAUGUUGGCAUGGGCCGCGACCCCCUCCAGCUUGUCACGUUGCAGACCUCACUUACGCUCUGUCCUUGGUUGUUCUUUCCCUCACCCAAACCUCAGGUCCGUCAGUGUCAACAGCAGCUUCCGAAUGUACCUGGGAGUCCCCCCCCCUUUUUUUUAAGAUUUUAUUUGACAGAGAUCACAAGAAG